rnacentral:tRNA from 1 species
UCCCUAGUAGCACAGCGGUAGUUGCACUUGACUGUUAAUCAAGUUGUCCGUGGUUCGAUCCCACGCUGGGGAGCCA